UAGUGCCCGUCUAGGGGCGUUUGGUGGAUGCCUUGGCAUCUGAGCCGAUGAAGGACGUGAGAAUCUGCGAUAUGCCUCGGGGAGCCGAUAGCGGGCUGUGUUCCGAGGAUUUCCGAAUGGGGAAACCC
rnacentral:ncRNA from 1 species